rnacentral:rRNA from 1 species
GACGAACGCUGGCGGCGUGCUUAACACAUGCAAGUCGAACGGAAAGGCCCUGCUUGCAGGGUACUCGAGUGUCGAAAGGGUGAGUAACACGUGGGUGAUCUCUCCUGCACUUCGGGAUAUGCCUGGAAGAAUGGGUCUCAUACCGGAUAGGAGACAUUCUUAUUGUGAUGGUUGUAAAGUAUUUUCGGUGUAGGAUGAGCUCGCGGCCUAUCAGCUUGUUGGUGGGGUAAUGGCCUACCAAGGAGGCGACGGGUAGCCGGCCUGGGAGGGUGGACGGCCACAUUGGGGCUUGGAUACGGCCCAGACUCCUACGGGGGGCAGCAGGGGGGGAUAAUGGACAAAGGGGGCGAGCCUUAAUCAGCGACGGCGGGUGGGGGAAUACGGGCUUCCGGUUGUAAACCCGCUUCGCUAGGGACGAAGCUUUUUGUGACGGUACCUAGUUAAGAAGCACCGGCUAACUACGUG